rnacentral:rRNA from 1 species
GACGAACGCUGGCGGCGUGCCUAAUACAUGCAAGUAGAACGCUGAAGGAGGAGCUUGCUUCUCUGGAUGAGUUGCGAACGGGUGAGUAACGCGUAGGUAACCUGCCUGGUAGCGGGGGAUAACUAUUGGAAACGAUAGCUAAUACCGCAUAAGAGUAGAUGUUGCAUGACAUUUGCUUAAAAGGUGCAAUUGCAUCACUACCAGAUGGACCUGCGUUGUAUUAGCUAGUUGGUGGGGUAACGGCUUACCAAGGCGACGAUACAUAGCCGACCUGAGAGGGUGAGCGGCCACACUGGGACUGAGACACGGCCCAGACUCCUACGGGAGGCAGCAGUAGGGAAUCUUCGGCAAUGGACGGAAGUCUGACCGAGCAACGCCGCGUGAGUGAAGAAGGUUGUCGGAUCGUAAAGCUCUGUUGUAAGAGAAGAACGAGUGUGAGAGUGGAAAGUUCACACUGUGACGGUAUCUGACCAGAAAGGGACGGCUAACUACGUG